AUCUCGAUUUUCAUAGACCUCGCUCCACACCAUCAAUCUCUGCAACAGAAUCAAGCAAGUCCUGGCCUUAGUCGAUUGCCCUCACAAUUUUGCCCUUAAAGAUCUCCUCAGACCCGACUGCAAUCGCACUGAGUAUUUUCUCAGUGCAAUUAUCAAUUACCAUCUUUAUAGAUAUUGAGGAGCAGCACGAAUUGUUGCAGGGCUAGGUUUCCCAGGAGAAGAGAUUUGUAGAUGCAAAAUGAGUUCAACGUAAUGGUGGUCAGAAGUUGGAGCUGCACGAUUUUGUACGAGUGAAGCUACAGGCUAGACAGUAAGAGACCUUACAUGUCAACUAUCAACAUAUGCAUUCCUCCAACCACUAGUCUGUAGCAUGCAUUUUAGCCCUGGAGAGGCAGUAAUUGUUGCUCAGGAAGUUGUCAGUACAAUGGCUGCGAAGGGAUAUGAUCUGGGACAAGAUGCAUUAAUCAAGGCCAAAAGCUUCUGAUGAGUCCUACCAAGUAUCAGCUACUACAACAGCCAAGGUUUACAGUUACUUCAUAACACUAUAUUUUUCUCUUUACUGAGGGGAGAGUUAUCAAGCGGACACCUCCAUCGAUCUGAGCAAGCACCAUAUGCCCAGAAUCUAGUUGAGAUAGAGAAAAAAAAGCUUUCCAAUCACCAAGUAUUUCAGAGUUUGUAUUUCAAUAUAUAUUUUGCAUAUC